rnacentral:rRNA from 1 species
GAAAGUUGAAAAGAACUUUGAAGAGAGAGUUCAAGAGUACGUGAAACCGUUUAGAGGUAAACGGAUGGGACCGCUAGGUUCCCGGCGGGAUUCAACCUUCCGCUCGGCGACUGUGGCGUUACGGCGAUCUUCACGGACGUCUGGCGUUACAGGUCGUCGUCGGUUGGCGCACUUUCCGUCGGACCGUGGCCAGGACAGGCACGGCGGCGGCCAGAAGCUCGUGGAUCCAGGUAGCGUCUCUCGGGACGUGCUUAGUUUCCGCGAGUGGGCAGCGUUGCCGUGCCGAGGAACAGACCGCCGCUCCGGGAGCUCCAGGGUCACUCGUUCGGUCGACUGCCUCGGACUGUACACAGUGCGGGGCGACUGUCGGGCGAGUUGUGCUCGGGUUCCCUCUCGGAAGCUCAGGGUCUCUGGUCGUUCACGUCGGCACCCCAUCCGACCCGUCUUGAAACACGGACCAAGGAGUCUAACAUGUGUGCGAGUCGCAGGGUGGCAAACCUUUGGGCGCAAUGAAAGUGAAGGUCGGCUCUCGUCGGCCCAGGUGGGAAGCGGCCUCGGUCGUCUCACCACCGGCCCGUCUCGAUCCCAGCGUCGGAUGAGGCGGAGCACGAGCAUACACGUUGGGACCC